UACGUAGGCAGCGAGCGUUGUUCGGAGUUACUGGGCGUAAAGAGUGCGUAGGCGGUUUUCUAAGUUGGUGUGAAAUCUCCCGGCUCAACUGGGAGGUGCGCCGAAGACUGGAAGGCUUGAGUGAUGGGAGAGGUAAGCGGAAUUCCUGGUGUAGCGGUGAAAUGCGUAGAUAUCAGGAGGAACACCUGCGGUGUAGACGGCUUACUGGACCAUAACUGACGCUGAGGCACGAAAGCGUGGGUAGCAAACAGG
rnacentral:rRNA from 1 species